UCAACUCUGCCUCACAACUAAAGAGUUAAGUUAGCUUCUUAGCUAGUUCUAAAAAGCUUUAGUGUUAUUAGCCGUAGCCUAUUUAGCAAGCUCGAAUCUGCCAUGCCACGAUUUAUAUCAGAAAUUGACUUCGCCAAACAAAUCCAAGAGAGGAAAAAGAGCAAUGAGCAGCAUCAAACUACCAAGCCCAGCAGUGAUGAUGUUGCCGAGCUCCAGCUAGCUCCGCGUGCAGAGCCUACCCACCCAGGAUAAUGGCUCCACAGCCCCGCUGACUGUUCCUGACAAUCUUGGAACAGAGUAGCCAGCCCAGGAGCUGGGUAGGAUAUAGGCGCUGAAGUCAGGCUCAUUCAUGACCUGUAUCUGUGACGAGGGGGACCUGGAGCUGAUCUAUGCUAACAUGCCAAACAUCUCAGAAAGGACAAAAGAUGGAGGACAGAAGAGUCCUCUGACUGAAAGACAGGUUGAUACUGAUGUCUGAAUUGGGACAGACCUUGCACUCAGCAUUAAAAUUAUAAAAGACAUUGAUUGCU